rnacentral:misc_RNA from 1 species
AAAGUCGUAACAAGGUUUCCGUAGGUGAACCUGCGGAAGGAUCAUUACCGAGUUCGUGCCCCUCGCGGGUAGCUCUCCCACCCCCUGAAGAUGUUACCACUGUUGCUUUGGCGGGCCAGCGCCGCGGGUCAAACCGAGGCCGCGCCCGCCAGAGACCCCCCCAACCCUUGCGUUCCCUACCGUCCGAGGCAGAUGAAAAUUGUCAAAACUUUCAACAACGGAUCUCUUGGCUCUA